rnacentral:tRNA from 1 species
UGAGUUCAUCGUCUAAAAAGGACACCGUAUUGCAAAUACGGAGGUGCAAAUUUGCAGAACUCUC